CCCACUGCCCUGGGGAGCCUGUUCAGUGCCCAGCCACCCUCUGGGGGAAGAACCUUUUUCUAAUAUCCAACCUAAGUUUGGAUAACUUGUACCCUUAUCAGAGAUGUCAUUUCUCUUUAUUAUGUAUUGCAUGCAAACAGUACAUUCUGAUUCAGAUCUCAUCUUGCUGCCAAAUCUGGAAUAAUUGUGACAUGUAAUUUUUUCAAAUUAAUUCGAAUAGUGAAGAUCAUUCAGUUGUCAGCAGAAGUGGAAAGAGAAAAGUGAUGUUCUGUGCUAAUUGGAUGAGAGCUGAGGAAUCUUUGAUGCAGAGCUGCAGGGCAAAAUUCUGAUUCAAUUCACGUUGGUGUUUCAACAUUUACUUCAAUGGCAUUUUGUUAUCACCAUCAGUUCCAUUUCUUGGGUAACACAGGACUUCAGCAGCUGGUGUUUCACACGCUGACCAUGAUCCACAAGAAAUUCGGCUGUUGGGGAGUUAAAAUACUUUAGGGGUCAGUGAAACAUGGAAUGAGUGACCAAGGUUCCUUCAGUAGGUCACAGUUUGCAGUUCCUGAGGACCUGAAAUAUAGUGAAGAUCAUAAUAUUCAGGAUUUAUGAGCAUCUCACAGAAGCUACAACCUCAUAUAAUUAAGAGCUAACUUGGGCUUCAGUUUGUGGAAGGAAAUAUAGGAAGUUUAGAGUCAAUCAGCAGCUGAAGACAAGAAGAUGAAAGACCACAUUGAUUAGAACUCACAAUAAACAAGGUCCAGCUUAGAAGAGCAAUAUCUGUUUUGAGACUGAAGUCGUGUAUCACAACUCCCCAAAAGUCAUGGUUCCAGUUCCCAUAUUAUUAUUAUUAUUCCCUAAUAAAACUAUUAUUUAGUUUUAUAUCCACCUGGGAUAGAGUAAUCUUUGGGAUGGUUCCAUCUAUUCAACCUCCUGCUCACCAACUUCUGAAGCAAGACUUGAGAAGGAAAGCAGAAUAGCUUUAAAUUCAGGAAUUUUUAGUUUCAUCUUAAGGAAAACUAGGACUUAAUAACAUUCCUACACAGUAAAGUUACUGCUUUCUAAGAGAUGAAGUCAGGAUUUAUGUAGUGCUUUACAUCCUCAUUUAGGCAAAAUAUGUAUGUACAGUAAGAUCACUGCUGUGGGGGUUGUGCUUCUGCUCUUUUGCAGAUGCAGAGAGUCUUUUUGAGAAAUUAUUCUUCAGCAAAGACUGAGCUAACUUGUUUUUCUGUUGAAGUAUAAUUUCUUGGACAGUUGUGUCGUGACAGCUCCUCACCUGCUGUAUUGCAGCUCAGUGUGCUGUUUCUUAAUGGUGCCAAUGCCACCUUGCUGCAGGCUUUGGAAGGUCAGGCUGCUCAGCAAUUUAAUCUCAAUUCACCUGAUGGACAGAGGCAGUGGUGGUUUCUCUGGGGUCAGUCCUACUGGUGAACUUUUAGCCUGAAAAGUGAGCCCAAGGCAGAAUUGGAUGGAUCUCCUGUUGCAUGACUCAAGGCUGGAGACUGACACUAUCAGAAGCAAAGUCAGAACAGUUUCAUCAUGGAAAUUUCUGUGCUAUUGUAAAAUACACUUUGCUUCCAAACAGCAGCAAACUGUAAUCAGGAGAACACCUUCAGACUAUGCAGCUGUGAUCUCAUGUAUUUUGGAAUCAAACCCUUUAACAUCUUUAUCCACCAAGUAAAAUGCAGCCUUGCCUGGCACACUCUUCCAGUGAGGUCAAAAGUCAGAUGGUUUCUACAAAGAGUCCCACCGUUUUCACUUGUGCUUCUUAUUUUUAUAUAAUUAUGUCCUUCUAGGGCUGGACACAAAAGAAUGCAUUGAAAAGGAAUUCCUGAGAUCUCAUAUGGCCCAUCUUCCAUAUGCCCCCAGAAGAGAAAAUUGCAUUAUUUUCUUUUGGAGUACCUGUACCUUGAGAAAGUGAAGAUUAGUCUUUUUGGCUGAAAGUUGGUGUUCAAUAGAUGCAGCAGCAUCAUGGAACUGCACCUUCAUUUUCUCCAUUUAGGAGAAAAAAAUGCAUUAUUUAAAAUCUGAGAUUCUUUUUAUGAAUCUUAUUUGUAGACUGAAUGCUUUUUGCUCAUUCUAACCCAAGCACAGACUCUAUUUAAAGAGAGCCCUUGUUGGUUUGGUGCUGCCAUUUGGGUGAAUUCCUAGAGAAGAUGUUAAUGGAAGAUCCUAGAAGUCACAGCUUUUAUAUCAAGGGGAAGGGAUGGCUGGAAUCCAUUGCCCUUCAGUGCCCCUGGCCUUGAGCCUGACAGGUCUGAGGUUUAUUCCUUAGGUGGGAUGAAAUAAACUCAUGAAAAACCCCUGGGAGGUACUUGGAAAAUAGGUGUAUUUUCAGAACAGGAAACUAUCACUGGCCAGAUAAAUAUCAAAACUAUUAAACUCUUGGAGUGCCUCAUCCCCAGAAGGAAAAGGAUCACUUUCAGGUGCAGUUUUUGACUCUCAGUCUCGCUGUUUUGCUGUGGGUUGUCAGUCCUGUCCAAACACCAGCAUUUCUUCUCAGCUGGGAGUUGGGAAUUCCUGCUGUCAAGCCCCCCUGAGGAGGUUGGGACUGAGCCUUAAGUUGCUGUUACUAUUAAAGAUCUGAAGACUGUGGUCCCAGAGACAAGGCCUUGUGCUCUCAGUUGCUGAGACUGGAUCCUCCCCCUCCCAAAGAGGUGGCAAAUACAACCCCAGCACUAAGGACAGCAGAAAGAGUCUUAAAUCCAGGACCUACCUGUUCUGUAGCCCCCAAAACUUGGAGCAAAAAUGAUUUAAUGGCUUGCCUUCACCACAGCUGGCAGAUGUAAGUCAGAGGUGUCUCAAGACUGUUUGGUUUAUAAUUGAUCUGAGAAUUGUCUUGGUGACAAUUGUCUGGGUAAGUCAGCACUGGUGACUAAGUGGCCACUUCCAUGCAGUAGUUUGUGUAUGAGGAAUUCUCAACUUUUAUUCCCACGUUGUGGUUUCUUUAAACCAUGUCCAAAGAUUUCUGAAACAAAGAGCUUGAUACAAAUUUUGGACACAGGAGCAAAGUUUGAAGACCAUGAGUUGUGUUUGUGAUUUAACACGGAAUUCUGACCACGACCUGUCAUCGCUGGUUCUUCAAGGCUUAGCACUGAAAAUUGCAUUCGACAAAUGUUUGAGAGCUCAGUGUGUUUUUAUAAGAACUGUUGUCUUUAGAAUUACACAAGGAUCAGAUAAGGGGAGAAACAUGAUUAUUUCCAAACAAUGUAAAAUCAUCAGCAUUUUCAAAGUACUUUAAAAUUUGUGGUUUUGUCUUUAAUUGUGCUGUUACUGUGCUUGCUCAUGAGUUGUGGGUGAUAACAUGUGAUUAUCAUCUGCCUACUUGAUCACAUGCACAUUUGUGAUGCUUGCAAGAGAAAACAUUAUCUGGCUGGUAACUGUCAUAUUCUGCAGAGUUUAAGAGACUGUUUCCCAGACAACAGAAUAGUCAGAUUGCAUCCGUGAGCUGUGCACCGCCGGGUACCUGCACUCCAGUCAAACACCUGGUGGCAGCUGCUGCUCCCACUAAUGACACAGACGAGAUGGAACUGUUUGUACAACCAAAAUCAACCUGCCUGAACUAUGGAAGUCAAGGAAACUGCACAAUCUAAACAAUAAAAAAAAAAAAAGUCAAAAAUUUUAUGUCUAACAAGUCAAACAGCACAAACCCUGAGUCAGUUUUUAAAUUGAAACCAGAUCAUUUACUAGCCAAAAGGCAUUUAAGGGCCAUGUUUAAGACCUCUGCUGCCAGGCAUUAAUCCAAGGGCAGCUGUAUAAUGUGGUAAAUCAUUUCCCUGUGGCAAUUUGAGCACCUUAAAACAGCCCAGGGAGCAGGUGGAAGGGCCAACACUGGAAGCAGCUGGAGCGCUCAGGGCGAGGAGAGCUUCUCCAAGAAAAAGCAAUUCCAUGGUCAAGAUGAAGAGGCCAUUCUCUCUUCAGCAAAGACUACUUUAAAUCCUUUUGGAAUAUGCAUUAGCUCCUGUUAAGAGUUUCCUAAUUACAUUCUGUGAAUGCUACCCUAGGCUUUCCUCACUGCUUCCAUAAUUAAAGUACCAAACACUCUUCCCUCAUAUUGAGUGCACAGGUUUACAACAGGACACUUGCACUCUGAAUUGUUCUCAGGUUUUUCUGUCUGGAAAUCUCAGUUUGCCAUUACCUGAGACAUUGGAUCUGCUUUAUUUAAGUCACAUCCCUGAGAGUUAUGUGGUGUAAUUGUGCCUGUGGUGACAAGUAUCUGCAAAGGAAGGAAAAGCUACUUCAUCACAGAUGAGGACUUGUGGAAAUUGAAGUCUAAAAGACUGUUCUUGAGCAUGUGAAGCCCCAUGGACGGGGAGUGGAAUACACAGAUAACACAUGUGAUCCAGCCCCCUCUCGUGGUUUUUUCCACUCAGAAGGCAGGAAUGGAUCCAGCCUUAUUUCUUAAUAAAAAUAUAAACACCUGCAUCUUUUUCCUGAAAGCUGAUAUGUUACUGCUAUUUCAUCUCUUCUUUGAGGAUGGUAGGCAUUAGUCUCAGGAUAGAAGAUGAUAAUCUGUAAAAAUGUUUAUUUGCAUUUCAUAUGCAACUUGACAGCCAUUUUCACCAGAACACGGGGGGUUGGGGAAAGGGAUUUGUUGGCCAUUUCUAUAAUCUGAUUUUUCUUCAAAUUGAGGGAGGAAGAGCACUAAAUACUAAAGGAUAGAAAACUUCCCUGGUAGACUGAUAAAGUACAGAAACAAAUACAGGCAUUUGGUUGUCUUACACUGAUCUGUGAGGGUUUUUGGGUUGAACCAAAUUGCAUGAUACUAACAAAUAGCAAGUCAGUGUUUGUUAGUGGAUGAAGUGGAUGAAUGCACUGAACUUAGAGAAGUGUUAAAUGUCUUGCUAAAGCCGAGCUGGCUCCAGUGGUUGUUCUGGGGCGUGCAGAGCAUUGGCUAAAUCAGCCCUGACCACUUGUUCUGGCUCUGCAGCACUAGCAGGGCCUUUCUGUGAUUUUUCCAUUACAUUUAUGGUUCACUGUGCAGAAAACAGGAAUUCAGCUGCCCUGUUCCCUCACAGUGCUCAUCCUGGCCAUAGGAAGAGCUGUCCCACAGCAACAGCAGGAGCAGCUGGAGAUCAGGAGUAACUGCCCUCAGGUGGCACCUGUUCCAACCAGCUCACACAGCGUGGGCAGAGCUGAGGAUGUGCUGCACAGCUGUGGGUUGGCAGUGCAGCUCCCUUCACUGAGGCUGUGAGAUGCUGUAGAGCUCAGGGGUCUUAAAUGCUGUUUGCUGCAUUCCCAUCCUUCCCCUCUGCCUGGGGUCAAAUGAUGAGCACAGGCCUCAGGGACAGGAAUUUGGGAUGACAUCAGUUAUGAAGAAGGGAGGUGAAAGGCUCUGGAGUGGGAGGCCAGCUUGCUGGAGCAGUGGGAAGCAGCUGGUAGGACCCAACAUCAGCAGUGGAACUGUUAAUGCCACACAGACAACAUAAAACUGGUAAAGAAUCUGUUUAUUUUGAUAAAAACACAUUUUCAGUAUUGAAGAGGAAAUCUUUUUCUCCCACCUACAUUUCUUUGAAGACUCAAAGGGAUGCACCAAAGCAUAUGAAUGCUAAUCCAUGGUACAGUGUUCUGAUGGUACUCUGUUCUGACACAGUAAAUGUAUCCUCAUGUAAACUCAUUUGCACCUAACACCAUUUUUCCAGAAUGUUAUAUGUUGUGUAAUGGUGGCAUUUCCUCACUGGUGACUCCUUUGGAUCCUAAUCAGAGUUCUGGAAGGAUUAAAAUUACUUCAACACUCCUAUUAAAGUAUGAGCAAAGCUAGAGAAGUUGGUACCAUCCUACACUGGAGUAUUGCUGUGCUUUCUUUCUGAAGAGUAUUUGCUUAUUAAAAGUACCAUUUGGUGUGA